rnacentral:rRNA from 1 species
UAGUCCACGCUGUAAACGAUGAGCACUAACCAUUGCGGGUGUUGACCCCUGCAGUGGUACAGCUAACGCGUUAAGUGCUCCGCCUGGGGAGUACGGUCGCAAGACUAAAACUCAAAGGAAUUGACGGGGGCCCGCACAAGCGGUGGAUUAUGUGGUUUAAUUCGAAGCAACGCGCAAAACCUUACCUGGGCUUGAAAUCCGGAGAACUUUUCAGAGAUGAAUUGGUGCCCUUCGGGGAAUUCCGUGACAGGCGCUGCAUGGCUGUCGUCAGCUCGUGUUGUGAAAUGUUGGGUUAAGUCUCGCAACGAGCGCAACCCCUAUCUUUAGUUGCCAGCAUUAAGUUGGGCACUCUAGAGAGACUGCCUGGGUUAACCAGGAGGAAGGUGGGGAUGACGUCAAGUCCUCAUGGCCCUUAUGUCCAGGGCUACACACGUAAUACAAUGGUUAGUACAGAGGGAAGCGAACCCGCGAGGGGGAGCGAAUCUCAAAAAGCUAAAUCUCAGUCCGGA